UACAGGGGGGGCAAGCGUUGUUCGGAAUUACUGGGCGUAAAGGGUUCGUAGGUGGCCAACUAAGUCAGACGUGAAAUCCCUCAGCUUAACUGGGGAACUGCGUCUGAUACUGGAUGGCUUGAGUGCAGGAGAGGAAUGCGGAAUUCCAGGUGUAGCGGUGAAAUGCGUAGAUAUCUGGAGGAACACCGGUGGCGAAGGCGGCAUUCUGGACUGCAACUGACACUGAGGAACGAAAGCCAGGGUAGCAAACGGG
rnacentral:rRNA from 1 species